GUCCCUUCGGGGACAUCCGAUAAAAAUGGAACGAUACGGAGAAGAUUAGCAUGGCCCCUGUGCAGGGAUGACACACAUAAAUUGAGAAAUGGUCUAAAAAUUU
rnacentral:snRNA from 1 species